UACGUAGGGUGCAAGCGUUGUCCGGAAUUAUUGGGCGUAAAGAGCUCGUAGGCGGUUUGUCGCGUCGAAUGUGAAACCCGGGGCUCAACCCCGGGCCUGCAUUCGAUACGGGCAGACUAGAGUUCGGUAGGGGAGUCUGGAAUUCCUGGUGUAGCGGUGAAAUGCGCAGAUAUCAGGAGGAACACCGGUGGCGAAGGCGGGACUCUGGGCCGAUACUGACGCUGAGGAGCGAAAGCGUGGGGAGCGAACAGG
rnacentral:rRNA from 1 species